AUGCAGGCGAAGUCACAAGGCCUAGGUCACAGCAGCCAGCCAACGUCCCCCCCCCCACCGCCCCCCGCAGCCAGCCUUCUGCAAAAGGAGCAGAGGCCCCUGAGCCUUUCCCCACACCCCUCCCUCCCUGCCCUUCGCAGGACCCAGCCUUUUGCUGGCAGAACCAAAUCCGAGUCCCCCAGCCAGCGCAGGAGCCUCAGUUUCCCUACAAGUGGGGCUGCCAGAGGCCUGGGGCCCUCGGAGGGGUCGCUCCCGGGUCGGGCGGCGGCGGCUCCGUCGGGGGAGCGGGCCGGGACUCGGGCGCAGGCGGGCGAGCCGGCGGCGGAGCGGCGGGGCCAGACGCUGUGCGGGCGGAGGUCACUUACUGUGUCCGGGCCGGGCCGGGGCGCCGCUGUCCCCGCAGAGCCCGGCGCCGCCUUAAAUAGCCCUCGGCCCCGCCUCCCGCCUCCCGCCUCCCGCCCCGCCCCGCCCGCCGCAGCCCUGGAAAACCCGCGGGCCCAGGCCAAGGCCGCGGCGGGGGCUGCCGGUGGCCCCGAACCCGGAGCGAGGGGGGCGGGGGGCGGCGUCACACCUUCCCAGCGGGGGCGGGGCGGCCAGGCUGGCCCGGCGUCGCCGCGGUCCCUGGGGCGCCGGGGAGCUCGGCCCUUGGGCUCAGCCUGCCGCGGGCCCAUUGUGCGACGCCGGCUUCUGAUUGGCUGGCCGCGGGGCCCCGCGCCCCCGACCCCAACCCCGCGGCUCGGCGCGGCACCCGCCCAGCCCGGGGGUCCCGGGGGUCCCGGGGGAUGCACCCCAGCGCCCUGGGCCGCGCCGCUCCCUCGGGGCAGAGGACACCGGCGGCCUCCGGGGCAGAGCGCUCCCUCCCUGGACGCCGGGGUGGCCCCCGGGGCAGAGCGCUCCCUCCCUGGACGCCGGGGUGGCCCCCGGGGCAGAGCGCUCCCUCCCUGGACAUCGGGGUGGCCCCCGGGGCAGAGCGCUCGCUCCCUCCCUGGACGCCGGGGUGGCCACAGGAGCCAGGGAAGCAGCCCUGCCCGAGGCCGCACCCUGGGCGCACGGUGCCGCAGGGAUGCCAGCCAUCCACCAGGAGCAGUCUGCUGGGUGCCCAGCACUCGCUCUCAUUAG
rnacentral:lncRNA from 1 species